rnacentral:tRNA from 1 species
GAGGGUAGAGCUCAGUGGUAGAGUGUGUGCUUAGCAUGCACAAGGUCCUGAGUUCAAUCCCCUGUACCUCCA